rnacentral:rRNA from 1 species
AUUGAACGCUGGCGGCAGGCCUAACACAUGCAAGUCGAGCGGAGCGGCGGACGGGUGAGUAAUGCCUAGGAAUCUGCCUGGUAGUGGGGGAGAGAGAUCGGAAAUGGGCGCUAAAACCGAUCACUCUCAGAUGAGACUAGGUCGAAUUAGCUAGAUGGGUGGGUAAAGGCCUACCAAGGCGACGAUCCGGAACUGGUGGGAGAGGAUGACCAGUCACACUGGAACUGAGACACGGUCCAGACUCCUACGGGAGGCAGCAGUGGGGAAUAUUGGACAAUGGGCGAAAGCCUGAGCCAGCCAUGCCGCGUGUGUGAAGAAGGUCUUCGGGUUGUAAAGCACUUUAAGUUGGGAGGCGUGACCCGCAGAAGAAGCACCGGCUAACUUCGUGCCAGCAGCCGCGGUAAUUC